rfam:Idiomarina xiamenensis 10-D-4 contig20, whole genome shotgun sequence.
GGCUAAACUAAGCUUUACAGGGUCCAGUGUUUAAAAAGCCCCGCAGCUUGCUCGGGGCUUUUUGCUAUGUGGCCUGCGCCAGUCGCCAUCAAGACUGGCCAAUAACACUGGGCGUUUACGCCCUUUUUUU